CGUAGGGUGCGAGCGUUGUCCGGAAUUAUUGGGCGUAAAGAGCUUGUAGGCGGUUUGUCGCGUCUGCCGUGAAAAUUCGAGGUUCAACCUCGAACUUGCGGUGGGUACGGGCAGACUAGAGUGUGGUAGGGGAGACUGGAAUUCCUGGUGUAGCGGUGAAAUGCGCAGAUAUCAGGAGGAACACCGAUGGCGAAGGCAGGUCUCUGGGCCACUACUGACGCUGAGAAGCGAAAGCAUGGGAGCGAACAGGAUU
rnacentral:rRNA from 1 species